UACGGAGGGUGCAAGCGUUAAUCGGAAUUACUGGGCGUAAAGCGCGCGUAGGCGGUUUUUUAAGUCGGAUGUGAAANCCCCGGGCUCAACCUGGGAACUGCAUCCGAUACUGGAAGACUAGAAUGCGGGAGAGGGAGGUAGAAUUCCAUGUGUAGCAGUGAAAUGCGUAGAUAUAUGGAGGAAUACCAGUGGCGAAGGCGGCCUCCUGGCUCGACAUUGACGCUGAGGUGCGAAAGCGUGGGGAGCAGACGGG
rnacentral:rRNA from 1 species